rnacentral:rRNA from 1 species
UACAGAGGUCUCAAGCGUUGUUCGGAUUCAUUGGGCGUAAAGGGUGCGCAGGCGGUGAGAUAAGUCGGACGUGAAAUCCCGGGGCUCAACCUUGGAACUGCGUUCGAUACUGUCUUGCUAGAGGACUGGAGAGGAGACUGGAAUUCCUGGUGUAGCAGUGAAAUGCGUAGAUAUCAGGAGGAACGCCAAUGGCGAAGGCAAGUCUCUGGACAGUUCCUGACGCUCAUGCACGAAGGCCAGGGGAG